UUACAUACAUCAUACAUACAUACAUUUUCUACCGCUUAUUCCUUUUGGGGUCGCUGGUGCCUAUCUCAGCUACAAUCGGUCAGAAGGCGGGCUACACCUUGGACAAGUCGCCACCUCAUCACAGGGCCAACACAGAUAGACAGACAACAUUCACACUCACAUUCACACACUAGGGCCAAUUUAGUGUUGCCAAUAAACCUAUCCCCAAUCAACUAGGUAUGUAUUGAGUUACAUGUAAAUGAUGCUACUAUGUACAUUCAUAAUAUGGUUUCUCUCAUUUCAGAAAGAAAGAAGCCAGCAUUAGCGACUUGGUAGAAAGGAAGGUGUGCACACCAAAGCAAGCGGCUGCAUUGACUGAUACUAUCCUGAAUAUGUUGUACCCAUUUUACCAAACUGAUGGAGAGGAGGUACAAGCAGACAUUCCAAGCAGUGUAGACUGACAUAAAAGCCACCCAGAGAAAAUUGCUCUCACUACUGAUGUGUGGACAAGUGCAGCCUACCUUGGCAAUACAUGCCAUUACAUUGGAGAAGAAUGGAACAUGAAGUCAAUCUGCCUCAGACCACACCACUAGAGGAGACAUUCAGCAUCCAACAUUGCAGAGUGGUUAGAAUAAGUAGUAGCCAAGUUUGAAAUUCCCCUAUGCAAAAUUAUUGCUAUUGUGCAUGACAUUGGUGCACUUAAAAAAACAACAACAACAUUUUUGUAACAUUUGCCUUAUUUUAUUUGGCAAGUUGAACAUGGUGCCAGUAUGCGUUUUUCC